UUUGUGGUUUCAAAAACAACUUCGAAACUAUUUUUUUCCCUUCAACAAUAGCCAUUAUUCUGCGGUGAUUGACUUUAUGACAGUGUGCCUCGGCAUUCAUUUUGCUUGAGCUCAGACCUCCAAGUAAAUAUUUUAAGGUAGCGUUGUGUGAUUUGCAUUGGUUGAGAUCUGGAACCGUACAAUUUCACAGCUGUGAAUGUGUUUUCUCCUCUCUGCACUGCACAGCUUGCUGGCAUCCUGACUGCCUCAGAGAGGCACCUUCAUCACCUCUGAGAUGGCAUCUGACAUUUCCUCCAGCCAGUUACAUGCAGGUGCCCUGUGCAUCAAGAAAGAUUGAAGGAGCACCUGGGUGGCUCAGUCAGUUAAACAUCUGCCUUUGGCUCUGGUCAUGAUCCCAGGUCCUGGAAUGGAGCCCUGCUUUGGGCUCCCUGCUCAGCAAGGAGCCUACAUCUCCC
ensembl:lncRNA